GAUGAAGAACGCAGCGAAAUGCGAUAAGUAAUGUGAAUUGCAGAAUUCAGUGAGUCAUCGAAUCUUUGAACGCACAUUGCGCCCGCCAGUAUUCUGGCGGGCAUGCCUGUUCGAGCGUCAUUUCAACCAUCAAGCCCUGCUUGCGUUGGGGUCCUGCGGCUGCCCGCAGGCCCUGAAAACCAGUGGCGGGCUCGCUAGUCACACCGAGCGCAGUAAUACAUCUCGCUUUGGGCGUGCGGCGGGUUCUUGCCGUUAAACACCCCCUUUUUACCAAGGUUGACCUCGGAUCAGGUAGGAAUACCCGCUGAACUUAAGCAUAUCAAUAAGCGGAGGA
rnacentral:misc_RNA from 1 species